rnacentral:SRP_RNA from 2 species
GCCGGGCAUGGUGGCUCAUGCCUGUAAUCCCAGCACUUUGGGAGGCUGAGGCGGGUGGAUCACUUGAGGCCAGGAGUUUGAGACCAGCCUGGCCUACAUGGUGAAACCCCGUCUCUA